UCAGGGCAAGUAGUUUGCAGUCUUGUGAAUAUGACCAAGACAGCCCAGAAACCAAGUUCCCUUCUUCGGGCAAAAAAUUGAAAAGAGUUUGCAAAGGUGAAUUAGAAGAUUGCUUUUAUCCUCCUCUCGCCUUAGGCUGCUUAGAUGAAGAAGCCGGAAGCCCACUGGCACCAAACAGCCCAUCAGAGUCGAGAGCUCACAGGGCGGGACCAAGGCCAGACCGGUCAGGGGCCAUAGCGCACACAAAAGGGACAGGAGAUCCUGAUUAGGGAAUUUUCCAGAGGCUACAUGCUGUGUGAUCACAACAGAUUGAGUACAGAACCAGAUAUGAGAAUCCAGCUGUCUUCUGUUAAGAAGAAUCUCCACUCCGCGAACAGUUGCAUAGAGAGGACCCCCCACUGGACAAAGUACUGGCUUUUCUCCCACAGGUGGCAAUGACAAGCUAAGGAAGGAGAUGGCAGCUGCGCCGCCUGGGCGUUUCAAUGGAGAAGACAUUGCUGGGCUCUCGGAAGGAGCGUACAAGUGGAGGUGGCCUUGUUUGAGCUGGACCAGUCGGAUUCCGAAGAAAAGGGCGCUUGGGAGGAGAGUGCACCAGGCAGCCCAGAGAACAGCUUAGAACCAUACAGAACACACCCAGCUUCCUGAUUGAUCCUCAAGGCGGAAAAGGCAAGGUUGAUGUUUUGGACAGUCCAGCAAGUAAAUAAAAAAAAUAGUGAAAUAAAUUACCUGAAAAACUAAAUAAAUAAAAUUUUAAAAAGAGAGAGGGAAGGCAGAGCUUAUUUGAAACAAUGGCUCAGGUUGAAACGGCCAUCCUAGGGUUAACGGGAAUCACGAGCCAGGCUUUAAGCAGAAUUACAGGAAUAGUCAGGCAUUAACCAGAGUGCGCUGGUGGCUUUGACCCAUUUCCCUGCAGCUGAUAACUGACUGAGAGUCACACGGUGUGCUGACCACCUGCGUCUCCAUCGUUCCUAUAGACAGGCUCCCUGUUGCUAGAACAACCACACCUUUGACCAAACAUUGCGUAAGUUGCUUUUCACAUCCUGAAUUCCAUUGCAAGGGCAGACACCAGCCUAGUCUAAGACCCCCAAGGAAAGCAACUUAGCACAAGAAUGCAGUUCCUUCAUCUCUCUGCCCCUCACUUCUCGACCAAUCAGCGAUCCCCACACUUCACCCCCCCCAUCUUGGCAUCUCUCCAGAUCCCCUAAGACCUCUGUCCCCAAACCUCUCAGAGAGGUGAAUCUGAGGUAUCCUCCCAUCUCCUGGUUUGGCUGCCCUGAGAUUUUUAGAUUCUUUCCCUGCUACCUCCCAGUGUCUCAGUGUAUUGAGCUGCUGUACAACCGGCAAACGAACCUAUUGCGGUUACAACGUUGUCACGCCAGGAAGCACAUUUGUUAUCGGCCCUGAAAGUUGCAGGAAAGACCUUCGUGGUGGUAUUCCAGCCAACUGUGCAAAGCAGCCAACCUCCCAAGAGGGCCUAGUGCCACUCGCCCUCCACACGUCCUGCUUUCCUGCUGCUCUUCCUUUUCUCACUCCUGUUUUUGAAGCAUUUGUUGAACUGAGUCUCCUCCAUGUCACCAACACUGGGUUGGAUUCAUGGGUAAAUAUAUAUUUUUGUACUUGAGGAAUACAUUAGUUACUUACUGCUGCAUAACAAAUCAUCCAAAACUUAGCCGCUGAAACAAUAAACAUUUAUUAACUCAUGAAGUUCCUGAGAGUCAGAAAUCUUGGAGUGACUUAUCUGGGUCCUUCUGACUCAGAAUCUCUUAUGAGGCUUCAGUCAAAUUGGUGGCCAGCGCUGCGGUCACCUGAAAGCUUGACAAGGGCUGGAAGCUUUGCUGCUGUGAAGGCCACUUCAAGCUGAUCGCACGCUGUUGGCAAGAGGCCUAGUUCCUCGUCACAUGGGUUCUCCAGAGGAUUGCCAGCGAAAUGGCAGCUGGCUUCUCCCUGGGCAGGUGAUAAAAAACAGGGGAAGUACAAGCAAGACAGAGGCAUCCCACCUCCUGGUCUGCCUGUCCUAUCAUCAUUAAAUCCUUUCUCUGCUACGUCCCCAGUAUCACAGAGUACCGACUUGCUGCACAUCAGGCAAAGGAAUCCAUCACAGCUACAAGCAGGAACAUGCCCCCCCUCACCACUCCUGUUCAAUACGGUACUGAAUGUCCUUGCUAACACAGUAGGACAAGAAAGAGAAAUAAAGUGGAUACAUAUUGGAAAGGAAAGAAUAAAACUAUUUGUUCACAGAUGACAUGACUGUCUAAGUAGAAAAUUCCAAAUAGUCAACAGAAAAACUUGUGGAACUCAAAGGCAAUUAUAGAAAGGUUGCAAGAUAUGAGGUAACAAUAAAACUUAAAAUUUAAUUGCUUUCUUACAUAGCAACAA